rnacentral:rRNA from 1 species
GACGAACGCUGGCGGCGUGCUUAACACAUGCAAGUCGAACGGUGAAGGGACCGGUUUUUGCUGGUUCUGGAUGAGUGGCGAACGGGUGAGUAACACGUGAGUAACCUGCCCCCUUCUUCUGGAUAACCGCAUGAAAGUGUGGCUAAUACGGGAUAUUCUGCGCCUGCUGCAUGGUGGGUGUGGGAAAGAUAUUGUUUCGGUGGGGGAUGGGCUCGCGGCCUAUCAGCUUGUUGGUGGGGUGAUGGCCUACCAAGGCGGUGGCGGGUAGCCGGCCUGAGAGGGUGGACGGUCACACUGGGACUGAGACACGGCCCAGACUCCUACGGGAGGCAGCAGUGGGGAAUAGUGCACAAUGGGCGCAAGCCUGAUGCAGCGACGCCGCGUGAGGGAUGGAGGCCUUCGGGUUGUAAACCUCUUUCGCCAGUGAAGCAGGCCUGUCCCUUUUGUGGGUGGGUUGACGGUAGCUGGAGAAGAAGCGCCGGCUAACUACGUG